CCCUCCAUCUAGUGUGUCUGGGAGCGUUGUUGUUCGGGGUGGUCUGGUCCAUCGCUGAGAAGGAGUGUUAUCCAGGGGGGAAUCUGUUCGGCAUCAUCAUCUUGUUUCUCUGUACUGUGUGUGGAGGAAAACUGGUCGGACUGAUCCAACUCCCCACACUGCCCCCCUUCCCCCCUUUACUUGGUAUGUUGCUGGCAGGUCUGGUGCUGCGUAACGUACCGUACGUAACUGAGGCGGUCCACAUUGAGCAGACCUGGUCAGCAGCUCUGAGGAACAUCGCUCUGGCCAUCAUACUGACCCGUGCUGGACUGGGCCUCGACCCUUCGGCUCUCCGCAGACUCAAGGCGGUGUGUGUGCGACUGGCAGUAGGACCGUGUACAGUGGAGGCAUCAACAGUAGCUGUGAUGUCUCACUUCCUGAUGGGCUUGCCCUGGGUCUGGGGAUUCAUAC